rnacentral:rRNA from 1 species
UACGUAGGGUGCGAGCGUUAAUCGGAAUUACUGGGCGUAAAGCGUGCGCAGGCGGUUUUGUAAGCCAGAUGUGAAAUCCCCGGGCUCAACCUGGGAACUGCAUUUGUGACUGUAGAGCUGGAGUACGGUAGAGGGGGAUGGAAUUCCGCGUGUAGCAGUGAAAUGCGUAGAUAUGCGGAGGAACACCGAUGGCGAAGGCAAUCCCCUGGACCUGUACUGACGCUCAUGCACGAAAGCGUGGGGAGCAAACAGG